rnacentral:rRNA from 1 species
CCUACGGGAGGCAGCAGUAAGGAAUAUUGGACAAUGCUCGCAAGAGUGAUCCAGCCAUGCCGCGUGCAGGAAGAAUGCCCUAUGGGUAGUAAACUGCUUUUGAACUAGAGAAAAUCCCAGUACGUGUACUGGGCUGAUAGUAUAGUUAGAAUAAGCAUCGGCUAACUUCGUGCCAGCAGCCGCGGUAAGACGAAGGAUGCAAGCGUUAUCCGGAUUCAUUGGGUUUAAAGGGAGCGUAGGUGGACUGAUAAGUCAGUGGUGAAAUCUCCGAGCUUAACUCGGAAAUUGCCAUUGAUACUGUUGGUCUUGAGUACAGUUGCUGUGGGCGGAAUAUGACAUGUAGUGGUGAAAUACAUAGAGAUGUCAUAGAACACCGAUUGCGAAGGCAGCUCACAAAGCUGUAACUGACACUGAGGCUCGAAAGUGCGGGGAUCAAACAGGAUUAGAUACCCUGGUAGUCCGCACCGUAGACGAUGAUUACUCGCUGCUAGGGGGCAACCUUUAGUGGCUUAGCGAAAGCGAUAAGUAAUCCACCUGGGAGUACGCCGGCAACGGUGAAACGUCAAAGGAAUUGACGGCGNGAGGAGNGCGACGGACGACGAGAGGGAGGAGG